GCCGGGUUCUUAUAAAGAGCAUUACUUAAAUAUACCGUUGCGUAAAGUUAACUUUUCUACCCAUUGCCAUUUAUACGUUGUUAAACGUUUAAUAUUGCGCUUUUUUAUUUAUAAUUCGUCUAUUAAUAUCUUCCUAAAAAUUCUACUGGGAGACCAUUUGUUUAAGCUUUAAAUCUAACACUUUGAGAUGAAAUAAAGAAAACAAUAUGAUUAUAACAUGCAUUGAUAAAAAAUGAGGUAAAACAACAAAACAGUUUGAACUAAAAUAAAAGUCAAUAUUAUACAAAUAAAUAAAAAA
rnacentral:lncRNA from 1 species